AAGGCGUGAAAGCGUGGGGAGCAAACAGGAUUAGAUACCCUGGUAGUCCACGCCCUAAACGAUGAACACUAGUCGUCGGGAUGCUAGUCAUCUCGGUGAUGCACUUAACAGAUUAAGUGUUCCGCCUGGGGAGUACGGUCGCAAGAUUAAAACUCAAAGGAAUAGACGGGGACCCGCACAAGUGGUGGAGCAUGUGGUUUAAUUCGAAGAUACGCGAAGAACCUUACCUAGCCUUGACAUUGAUUGAACACACUAGAGAUAGAGUGGUGCCCUUCGGGGAACAUGAAAACAGGUGCUGCACGGCUGUCGUCAGCUCGUGUCGUGAGAUGUUGGGUUAAGUCCCGCAACGAGCGCAACCCUCGUCCUUAGUUGCUAGCAGUUCGGCUGAGCACUCUAAGGAGACUGCCUUCGUAAGGAGGAGGAAGGUGAGGACGACGUCAAGUCAUCAUGGCCCUUAUGGCUAGGGCUACACACGUGCUACAAUGGGGCGUACAGAGUGUUGCGAUACCGCGAGGUGGAGCUAAUCACUUAAAGCGUCUCUCAGUUCGGAUUGGAGUCUGCAACUCGACUCCAUGAAGCUGGAAUCACUAGUAAUCGUAGAUCAGCAAUGCUACGGUGAAUACGU
rnacentral:rRNA from 1 species